GAUGAACGCUGGCGGCGUGCCUAAUACAUGCAAGUCGAGCGAACGGACGAGAAGCUUGCUUCUCUGAUGUUAGCGGCGGACGGGUGAGUAACACGUGGAUAACCUACCUAUAAGACUGGGAUAACUUCGGGAAACCGGAGCUAAUACCGGAUAAUAUUUUGAACCGCAUGGUUCAAAAGUGAAAGACGGUCUUGCUGUCACUUAUAGAUGGAUCCGCGCUGCAUUAGCUAGUUGGUAAGGUAACGGCUUACCAAGGCAACGAUGCAUAGCCGACCUGAGAGGGUGAUCGGCCACACUGGAACUGAGACACGGUCCAGACUCCUACGGGAGGCAGCAGUAGGGAAUCUUCCGCAAUGGGCGAAAGCCUGACGGAGCAACGCCGCGUGAGUGAUGAAGGUCUUCGGAUCGUAAAACUCUGCUAUUAGGGAAGAACAUAUGUGUAAGUAACUGUGCACAUCUUGACGGUGCCUAAUCAGAAAGCCACGGCUAACUACGUGCCAGCAGCCGCGGUAAUACGUAGGUGGCAAGCGUUAUCCGGAAUUAUUGGGCGUAAAGCGCGCGUAGGCGGUUUUUUAAGUCUGAUGUGAAAGCCCACGGCUCAACCGUGGAGGGUCAUUGGAAACUGGAAAACUUGAGUGCAGAAGAGGAAAGUGGAAUUCCAUGUGUAGCGGUGAAAUGCGCAGAGAUAUGGAGGAACACCAGUGGCGAAGGCGACUUUCUGGUCUGUAACUGACGCUGAUGUGCGAAAGCGUGGGGAUCAAACAGG
rnacentral:rRNA from 1 species